rnacentral:lncRNA from 1 species
UGGACUUUCUUGAAUGUCUGCAGCAAUCUUAGCAAACUAUAGUAGUCACUGCAGACUUGGUCAUUCUACAAUAACUUAAGAAAGAUAAGUAUGAUUUCGAUAGCGAGUUUAAAAUAGCAUACUUGCCAACUGUUCAUGUAACGGAAAGCCAAGUUUGCUCAGGCAUUCAAUCUACUCGAUCAUGUACAAUACAUGAUCAGUGACUAACGUCCCUUCUUGCAUAC